ACUUUAAGGUUUGUGGGAUUUCUUUCCCUUUAGAAAUGUCCCUCAUAAUUUGUCUCGUUCCACUACAAGACACUUGCUUUAUCCAAAACACAGUCAUAUUCAAAGUAAUCCCAAAUUGGACUCUGACGCUUUCUCCCGACUUUUGUUGACAUGAUGCUACGCGUGGACGGAGCAGCAACACAGACGACCCGACUGAGGUACUUGCCACCUGCUGGCAUAAUAAGGCACAGCAAGAACAUAACCUGGAAAAUACACUUCAUUCUCACCCUUGACUAACGUAUGACACAUACACAUCAACGAAAACUAAACACAUUUUCUCUAUAAAUUCAGUUAAUUUUAGUUAGUUUUGUGAACGGUCAUUUCAGUUUUAGUUAGUUUUCCUUUUAUUGCAAAGUCUCGUUUUUAUUUUUAUUUCCGUUAACGAAACUGUUUUUUAUUCGUUAUUUCGUUAGUUUUCGUUAACGAUAAUAACCUUGCCUCUCACCCCUCUCUGUUAUCUGCCCGGUCGACUAAAAGACGCACAGCCACGGUAACCAGCGCGACAAGUGUACAAAACUAAUGGUGGUGGGUGUAUGCGCUCAGACCAGCUGUCUGCAGCAGCGACGGUGUAACUACGUCACAUUGGGGUUUGGGGUUUUAUUUACCUCUCGCCAGGGCUGAACUCAUUAUGGGUUCACGCCCUUGGCCCACGCCCUCGGAGGAAGAAACACCUGUGCCUCAUCAGUGUGGAUCGUAUUUAAGCCAGGAAGCAACGGCUGUUCUUCGCUGGAUCGUUGUGAGAAUCACACUCCCUGGACUGUUUCACAGGUGUGCGAGUGAAUUUGUGUUUGGAUUGUGUGGAGAGAGACGAGCGUGUUCCCCUGGAUUUUCCCCGGAGCCCUGCCCCCCUCACCUUUUGUACAUAGCACUGCCCCGCACCCUUAUAAAUAGCACUGCCCUGCAUCUGUGUAUAUACACUCAUUGGACAUUGUUCUUUAAUAAAUUCUCUUGUGUGCAUCA